UACGUAGGGGCCGCGCGUUGCCCGGAUUCAUUGGGCGUAAAGAGCUCGUAGUCGGUCGCGUAAGUCCGGUGUGAAAUCUCCGGGCUCAACCCGGAGGGGCCACCCGAUACUGCUCGACUUGAGUCCGGGAGGGGAGUGGGGAAUUCCUGGUGUAGCGGUGAAAUGCGCACAUAUCAGGAGGAACACCGGUGGCGAAGGCGACACUCUGGGCCGGUUCCGACGCUGAGGAGCGAAAGCGUUGGGAGCAAAUAGG
rnacentral:rRNA from 1 species